UCAUCGAACCGAUGCUGCUCCAAACUGAUGCGCUGAUGUCUCCAACGCAGUGACCGCUCCAGUCAGAGAGCGAGCUGCUGGUCGUUUCCCAGAACGAGGGCAGAUCCAGGACUUUGAUUGUGGCUGUAGAUGCGUCCAGGCCGGAUGCACGGAUCCACGGAUCCAGACUGACUGCAGGCGUCGGUGCAGAAGUGGACGACUGAAGGAGCAAACACCAACGAGGCAUUCAGGAACCGUGGCAGCUGUACAGUAGGACGUAACAUUCAGGAACCGUUGCAGCUGCAGGACGUAACGUUCAAGAACCGUGGCAGCUGUACGACGUAACGUUCAGGAAUUGUUGCAGCUGCAGGACGUAAAGUUCAGGAACCGUCUCAGUUGCAGGACGUAACGUUCAGGAAUCGUUGCAGCUGCAGGACGUAACGUUCAGGAACCGUUGCAGCUGCAAAAUGGAACGUUCAGGAACCGUCUCAGUUGCAGGACAUAACGUUCAGGAGUCGUUGCAGCUGCAGGACGUAACCUUCAGGAACCGUUGCAGCUGUAAAAUGUAACGUUCAGGAACCGUUGCAGCUGCAGGACGUAACGUUCAAGAACCGUGGCAGCUGUAGGACGUAACGUUCAGGAAUUGUUGCAGCUGCAGGACAUAACGUUCAGGAACCGUCUUAGUUGCAGGACGUAACGUUCAGGAAUCGUUGCAGCUGCAAAAUGUAACGUUGAGGAAAUGAUGCAGCUGCAGGACGUAACGUCCAGGAACCGUGGCAGCUGUAGGACGUAACGUUCAGGAAUUGUUGCAGCUGCAGGACGUAACGUUCAGGAACCGUUGCAGCUGCAGAAUGUAACGUUCAGGAACCGUCUCAGCUGCAGGACGUAACGUUCAGGAAUCGUUGCAGCUGCAGGACGUAACGUUCAGGAAUCGUUGCAGCUGCAGGACGUAACGUUCAGGAACCAUCUCAGCUGCAGGACAUAAUGUUCAGGAAUCGUUGCAGCUGCAGGACGUAACGUUCAGGAAUUGUUGCAGCUGCAGGACGUAACGUUCAGGAACCGUUGCAGCUGCAAAAUGGAACGUUCAGGAACCGUUGCAGCUGCAGGACGUAACGUUCAGGAACCAUCUCAGCUGCAGGACGUAACGUUCAGGAAUCGUUGCAGCUGCAGGACGUAACGUUCAGGAAUCGUUGCAGCUGCAGGACGUAACGUUCAGGAACCAGCACAGCUGCAGGACGUAACGUUCAGGAACCAGCACAGCUGCAGGACGUAAC
rnacentral:lncRNA from 1 species